UACAUGUGGGGCAAGCGUUGUUCGGAAUCACUGGGCAUAAAGGGUGCGUAGGCGGCUUGUUAAGUCAGGGGUGAAAUCCCACGGCCCAACCGUGGAACUGCCUCUGAAACUGGCGAGCUUGAGUGCGUGAGGGGUAACCGGAACGAGUAGUGUAGCGGUGAAAUGCGUAGAUAUUACUCGGAAGGCCAAAGGCGAAGGCAGGUUACUGGUACGCAACUGACGCUGAGGCACGAAAGCGUGGGGAGCAAACAGG
rnacentral:rRNA from 1 species